GCGAGGAUGGCGGAACUGGUAGACGCGCUAGACUUAGGAUCUAGUGGCCUAGCCGUGCGGGUUCAAGUCCCGCUCCUCGCACCA
rnacentral:tRNA from 2 species